rnacentral:rRNA from 1 species
AACGAACGCUGGCGGCAGGCCUAACACAUGCAAGUCGAGCGAGGACUUCGGUUCUAGCGGCGGACGGGUGAGUAACGCGUGGGAAUGUGCCCUUCUCUACGGAAUAGCCCUGGGAAACUGGGAGUAAUACCGUAUACGCCCUAUUGGGGAAAGAUUUAUCGGAGAAGGAUCAGCCCGCGUUGGAUUAGGUAGUUGGUGGGGUAAUGGCCUACCAAGCCGACGAUCCAUAGCUGGUUUGAGAGGAUGAUCAGCCACACUGGGACUGAGACACGGCCCAGACUCCUACGGGAGGCAGCAGUGGGGAAUCUUAGACAAUGGGGGCAAACCUGAUCUAGCCAUGCCGCGUGAGUGAUGAAGGCCUUAGGGUUGUAAAGCUCUUUCAGCUGGGAAGAUAAUGACGGUGCCAGCAGAAGAAGCCCCGGCUAACUCCGUG